rnacentral:lncRNA from 1 species
CAACCGAAGAGAGAGCACCAAGAUGCAGAAGUGCAAACAAUCAAGAACAAGGAUGAUCAAUGAUGCCCUAGCUUCGAGAGAAAGAGAAGAGGAGUGCUCUUGGGAGAAAGAGCUUUUAUCUUUUUUCUAUAUUCAGCAUACAAUCAAUCCUUGACCUAGUUACAUGUAUAUAUAUCUAUACAAAAAGAUCAAGCCCAAAGCUCAACAAAAUUUUUAAAUAGCUAACCCAAUGUGAUGCACUCUCCCAGCCC